GGUAAACGCUGGCGGCGUGCCUAAAACAUGCAAGUCGAACGCGUACCUUCGGGUACGAGUGGCAGACGGCUGAGUAACGCGUGGGUGACGUACCUGUUGGUGGGGCAUAACUGCCCGAAAGGGUGGCUAAUUCCGCAUAAGUCCAAUCGUUCGUGCGAUUGGGGAAAGCUUCGCAAGAGGCGCCGAUGGAGCGGCCCGCGUUCGAUUAGCUGGUUGGUGGGGUAACGGCCUACCAAGGCGACGAUCGAUAGCUGGUCUCAGAGGAUGAUC
rnacentral:rRNA from 1 species